rnacentral:lncRNA from 1 species
GACAACUGGAUGCUUAUUUAGAAUGUCCAGUUCCGUGUCAAUCGGAACUGGACAUUCUAAAUAAGCGUUCUAAUCACAGUGGUUGGAGCAUAUGCUGCAGGGACCACCGUAGAAUGACACCCGUUUGUUGGUAUGUGUGAAAAGGUUAAAAUUCAAAAUCAAAUAGAUAAAUGAUCCUUGGUAUGACCUUCGUAAAAUAGUUCCAUAUGUUAGUUUAGAACGCCAGCGUGUGUACACAAAGGAGCAAAGCAGGAAGUAAAAGGUGUAUCCAUCAAUCUGUGUUGUGAUUUGUUGAAUGAACUCAACUGACACUACAAAAAAAGUAUUCCAUCACAUGAGCCACAUCAAUUAGCAUCAUUGUAAUGAACAUUCAACAGAAAUUACUGCAAGUGUACCCAAAAGUUUACCAGUCAAAUUUCCAGGAUUGGAGGUUCCAAGCCUGUUCUUUUAAUUAUAGUUCUAUGGUUUGCAAGUCCAUCUGAACACUGAUAUUAUGACAUAACAACCAUUCCUGGACCUGACUCCAAAAACGAGCCCCCGAUGGACAGUACCAGAAAAUAUUAUCUAUUGAUUCUGUUUCGUCGUGGCAGAAUCUGCACAGGGCUGACUGUUCUGUUCCUGUCCGGUUGGCGCCCCCCCUUGGGUUGUGCCGUGGCGGAGAUCUUUGUGGGCUAUACUCGGCCUUGUCUCAGGAUGGUAAGUUGGUGGUUGAAGAUAUCCCUCUAGUGAUGUGGGGGCUGUGCUUUGGCAAAGUGGGUGGGGUUAUAUCCUGCCUGUUUGGCCCUGUCCGGGGGUAUCGUGGGAUGGGGCCACAGUGUCUCCCGACCCCUCCUGUCUCAGCCUCCAGUAUUUAUGCUGCAGUAGUUUAUGUGUCGGGGGGCUAGGGUCAGUCUGUUACAUCUGGAGUAUUUUUCCUGACUUAUCCUGUGUCCUGUGUGAAUUUAAGUAUGCUCUCUCUAAUUCUCUCGCUCUUUCUCUUGGAGGACCAGAGCCCUAGGACCAUACCUCAGGACUACCUGGCCUGAUGACUCCUUGCUGUCCCCAGUCCACCUGGCCGUGCUGCUGCUCCAGUUUCAACUGUUCUGCCUGCGGCUAUGGAACCCUGACCUGUUCACCGGAUGUGCUACCUGUCCCAGACCUGCUGUUUUCAACUCUCUAGAGACAGCAGGAGCGGUAGAGAUACUCUGAAUGAUCGGCUAUGAAAAGCCAACUGACAUUUACUCCUGAGGUGCUGACCUCCUGCACCCUCGACAACCACUGUGAUUAUUAUUAUUUGACCCUGCUGAUUAUAACAGAACAUGGCCAAGAUGUUCAAAUGUUCAUAAAUGACCAGCAUGGUCAAAUAAUAAUAAUCUUAGUAGUUGUCGAGGGUGCAACAAGUCAGCAACUCAAGAGUAAGUGUCAGUUGGCUUUUUCAUAGCCGAUAUUUGAGAGUAUCUCUACCGCUCCUGCUGUCUCCAGAGAGUUAAAAACAGCAGGUCUGGGACAGGUAGCACGUCCGGUGAACAGGUCAGGGUUCCAUAGCCGCAGGCAGAACAGUUGAAACUGGAGCAGCAGCACAGCCAG